CUCGAGUGUUGGAAUUAUGGCGUGUACCACCAUGCCUGGCUCAUUUCAUAUUUUUAUGGAGUAAAAGAUAUCUCUAAUACUUUCAAGAUCUUUAUCAGUUAAAGAAAACAACAAAAUUAGGUCUGCAGUUCAUGACUAUGCACGCUUUCCAUGGCCCUUUUAAAAGACGUCCCUGAGAAAUGAAACUCCAGUGCUCUUCUGCCCCAGUUUUUCUACACUGUCAUUCGGAGGAUCUGACUUCCCAGUGAAGCAAGUGCCCGGCUCUCUCCUCUGUCCUUGUGCUGCACAGGUUCAUGCGGUCAGGACAGACACAGUGGGGUCCUUCGGGUGGUACAGGCAGCGACAGCUGACACAGUAAUCCUGUUACAUCACCCUCCUUGGUAGAACAUGUAGUGCUAUGCCUGACUGAAAAGCAAGGCUGUGCUUAAAAAUGCUUCCAACUUAGGCAGAGCUUCCCAGAUUCAGUCUGCGAAUCCGCACUGGGUGCUCUCAGCAGGAAUCUCUUGAAGAUGAGCCUAUUUCUACCGGCUUCUUCACAGCACUGUGUCCACACGUGUGUGACAACAGCCUGCCUGUGAAUGUGGACUGGGCCGGCUGCUGCUCUAAUCCACAAAAGUCUGAGUAACAUCGUAUAUGUGUUUUAAUAAUCUGCUCAACUUAUGGACAAAAUGUGCAUGACACAGAUAUUUUGGUUGUCCUUAGAACAAGAAGCCACAGUCUUGCAUAAGCUUGGGCUGAUGAGAAGGAUAGUUACAGUCCAACCCACUGUAAAAAUAACAGUUUGGGGAUGAAAAUAAAUAUUUGAAAUCUGUAAUUUAGGAUCAAUAAUCAGGGUGAUCCAAUUUAACCUAAAGCUUAGUAAGUGACUUUUGUAAAACAUCUGACUUUUCAUUAAAGAAUGCAAAACUCCCUGUCUCCUUCCUUUUCGCAUUUCAUACUUAUGUUUCUGUGUAAAGUUGUUCUAGAUGAAGGCAUGGGAGACAGGUAGUUCAAUUUACUUAACUGUCCAUGGCAAAAACAAAACAAAACAAAACAAAACUACACAACCCCUGCAUUGCAUCUGUUUUUGACCCUUUUGGUCCCUUGCCGAGCAGGCGGUAAUCUGCAAAUCCCACGCUAAAAGGAGGGUGUUUGAUAAAGCAACUGGCCUGGGGCUUGCUCUUUGGACACAGCUGGGGUGACGACACAUGCUUCGACUUCCUCUAGAAACUAUCAUAUUCAUUUGGGGACUUAACUGUAAACCUGAAGUCUAUAGUUAAAUCUCACUUACAGUUCCACUCUUACCUAAGAGUCUUUCUACAGAACAGAUUUUUAUAGAAAUUACUGUUGCGCUGACUCCGUGCCCAGCAGCAUUUGACACGGCGGGUCACUUUCCUCCUUGAACAAUUUUCUUCACAUGGCCAGCACGGAUCGCGCUUCCUGGUUCCCUUGCAGUUUCAUGGGCUGCUCCUUCUUAUGCCUCUUUGCUAUUCUCUUUUAUCUUCCCGACUUCCUCCCACUGGAUGCCCCAGGACCUGUCCUUCUGGAGCGUCUUGUCUCUGUACCCAGUUCUGGUGCCGCUGUCGGGGCUCACAGCUUUCAGUAAAUCCCUGAGCUGUGACCCCAAAGCUACCCCGCAACCCAGGCCUCGGCACAAAUAUCCGGACGCUGUGGUCACGCGCCCUUCCUCAGUACCUUGUCCUGCCUCAUCUCACUCUUAAAGGGUUCACAAGGAAGCUUCUGGAAUCCCUCCUCACAUUUCCUCUUGAAGUUUUACCUACUUCGCUAAAUACCAACUCCAUUAUUUCCAACGGAACAGGCCGCACGCCUUUGAAGUCAUCCUUGACUUGUCUUAUUUUCUCACCAACACAUAUACGAAGUAUUGUCAAGUCCUGUUGGCUGUAAUUUCAAGAUAGAGAAUUCACCCAGCUGUUACCACCUGGGUGCAUAAUAAUCUCUUGCCAAAAUUCUGCAGUAACAUCCGAACUGGUCGUCCUGCUUCCUCCUGUAGGCCAAUCUCAACAUGCAGCCACAACUGGUAAAAUCCUCCAUGCAGAGUAAAAGUUGGCCUCCAACAAGAAUCACAAGGUUCUUCUUUUUUUUUUUUUUUUUUUUUUUGGUUUUUCUACGGUACCGGGAACUGAACUCACGACCUUGCGCUUGCCAGGCAGGCGCUUUUAGCCACUGAGCUAAAUCCCCAGCCCCACAAGGUUCUUCUUGAUCUGGCUUCCUCUCAUCUAUAACUUCGUAUCUGUUCUCCCCAGUAGACACCAUUUCACUUACAGACCUUCUUGUCAUUCCUGGAAAAGUAAGUCACGUUCUGAACUUGGGGCCUUGGUAUUUGCUUGUCCCUUGGCCAGCAUGCUGUUUCUCUUAUAUCACAUGGUUUGUAUCCUCAUUUCCGUCAAAUCUUUACUGCAACGACGUUGUUAUGACUGGUAUCUAGAUGUCCCCCAAAGCCUCACACACUCAUAGGCAGAGCCUUGGGGUGGUGACGGUAUCACGAGUGUGUGGUACUCAUCAGUGGAUUGGUCCACUAAGCAGUGUAUGGCCAAAUGUGAUUUGGGAGGUGAAGCCUGGUUGGAGGAGGUGGGUCACUGGGUGCGUGGCCUGGCAGGGUUUAUCACCAUCCUCCUCCCUCUCUGCUUCCCGCCACCAUGCUCUGAGCUGUUUCUUCCCUGCAAUGCUACCCUGCCUUGGAGCCAGCUGAUUAUGGCCUGAAACCUCUCAAAACUGUGAAACAAAACAAACCUUUUCUCUUCUGAGUUGUGGGUGUCAGAGAUUGUGUCCCAGUGACGAGAAAGUAACUAAGAUGGACAUCUUUUUGAUCAGUCUUUCUCUGGCCACACUAACCAAAAUUUUCAUUUCUUCUCUUUGUUUUUCUUGCCUUAGCCCUUGUCACUGUCUAAUAUAUUAUAAGUUCUGCAAGAGCGAGGCUGAUAACUGUUAUCUUGUCUACUGUGGUAACUGGCCUAGGGAGGGCACAAUAAAUAUCUGUUGUGGAAUGUCUUUGGCAAUUUUAGUGUCUUUCAAAUCACUGUGUAGGAGUCAUCUGUUAAAACAAACAAAAUGAAACUAAACAAAAAUGAAACUAAAGAAUUUCUAGCCCCGCACUACCCACAUCUGAGAAUUCUGAUAGAGUAGGAGCCAGGUGACUCCUAGGACCCUCAUAUUAGAGGUCUACCUAACACGUUUGGAGAAACACUGACUUUGCAUUUGCAUUUCUUACAAGCUACCUCUUAGCAUACCUAUAUAAAACAAGCCAUGGGCCAAGACUGGGCCAUCACCUGUUCUUGCAAAUAAAGUUUUGCUGGAACACAACCACAUAAAUUAAUUUACAUGGUGUCUAUGGUUGAAUUUAUCCUACGACAGAAUAGCUGCGUGGUUGUGACAUAGACUAUGUGGCCUCAAACUCUAAAAUAUUCACUAUUGGGACCUUUUCAGAACAUUUAUCAGCCCUGGACGUAGAAUGUAAGGUAAAUUGUUCCUAAACACCACUUCGUUUUCCCAAAGCUGAGGGCUUCGUAAUGUAUUCUUAAGACAAAUCUAUCCCACCUCUAUGAACAGGUACAUUAAUCAUACAUUUAACACCCCACCCCUUAUCUGUAAUUCUCCAAAGAAUGUUGAGCAUUUUGGUUUCUGUAACGAACAAUGAAUAAAAAACUAAAAUCGCAUUAUAAAUAGCCUUGGCAUCUUUGCUUUAUGUAAUUUUUUUAGCAGGAGACUUUAAUAAAAACUGAAGGACUGGGGACAUAGCUCAGCGGCACAGCGCCUGCCUGACAAGUGCAAGGGUCUGAGUUUGAUUCCUGGUACCAACCCAACCCCCCAAAAACCAAAAACUCAAGCACUCUGGGAAGAACGUUUAAUAAUAUGUCAUUUCCUAAGGAAAAAACUACAAUUUCAAAUUAUCUGAAAAAUAGCCCUGCUCUUCUCACAGCCAUGGUUGUGAAACCUGUCCUGGGGCAUCUGUCCUCUGAAUACCCCCAUGUCUUUAGGCUGCAGAAUAGCAUGAAAGCGAAAGGAAAACGGAACCCCCCUCAGCGGCCAGUGGAACUUCUACAUCCUCUUCUGGGCAAAGAAACCAUAAACACAGUGUGAUUUCCAACAGCCGAGUCUCCCACUCUCUUUCAACAGGGGGACCGGGGGGACCCCUAUACCUGGCGUUCUCCACUUGUCCCUUGUCCCUUCCCUCACUGCUCUGGGGCCUUUAGUUGUGGGAGUUGCAGUUUUUAAAAAGCUUAUUUAGUUAUUCAAGCUGAGCAGUUUUAAUUUGUUCUAAUAGUUAAGGCCAGAAAAACUAUUACCACAACUGCAGGAUAGCAUUAUCAAAGCCAGCAGCUGCCAGGCACCUUUAUUUUUUUUUUUUAGUUGCUUUUAUCUUUAUACUAAGGAAAGACUCGCUGUAUUUUCAACAUUUGGAAUCCCUAUUCUUUAAAGAUGCAGAAUUACAUUUCUAAGAAAAUUAAGUGUAGUUUUUACUGCUUGAGCCUUGAUCAAUAAGCAACUUUCCCUGACUACAUUAUCCAAAUGGGGUGUAUUUAAUUCUAGAAAUACUGUUUCUAAUAUCUGAAUUUUAAAACCACAUACAAAUAGAUAAUGCCAGAGACUAUAUUUUGAGAAGUUAACUAUUUGGGGCUUUCAGUACACUACUCAUUCACAUGAAGAAAGGGUAUAAUAACUAAUCUCGUGGCUCCCUAUUCAACAUGUAAGGUGGCGGCUCUCACUCCCGCGGAAAGGGACAAGGAGUUUCUCUGGUUUAGAGAAUUUCCAGAGACUGAUUUCUGCACCAGCCACGGUCAUCAAAGACAGCAGGAAGGCAAAUCCUUGGAAGAGAAGACACCAGGACUAAUAACAGAAGGCAACUGAGAAAGCUUGUAGGAUAUUAAACUAUCUGUGCAAAUUUUAGGGUGAAACAGGCGCUGUUGAUAAUGAAAUGGCUGAAUUAACAGAGCCUGAAGAGGAACUGAAUGUUGAUACAAAGGUGCUUUAACAUGUAGGAUUUAUUUCUGGAAAAAAUAAAAUACACACUGACCUCCUAGACGCAUUUAUCCUGGAGCUUAUAAACACAUUUAUUCUUGCUUUUCAGUUUCAAGUGUCACAUUAAAUAUUUUUCGAUUCAUUUUGCAUCUGUUCCUUUUAAAAUACCAACGCUAUUGUAUUACUCUGGGCUUUGUUUUUGUCCUGCUGUUUUAUAGCCAUCACUCAUAUUGAGGUUUUCUAGUCAACAGCAAUAGUGUGGAGAAAAAGGCAAAUUUCUUCCUGUUUUUUCUUCUUUUUGUGUGUGUUAUUACUAUGGCAAAGCAUUAGGUCAGCUUGCUACAGUGCAGUCUUACUAAAAAUAGAACCUUUGGAUACUGAAUCCCGAGCAAAUGGAGAUACCCGCAAACCACCACUAGAUGGCAGAGCAGCCUCACCAUUGCUAUCAGUCCUGCCGGCAAAAUUCGACUUAAAAUCCACAGUACCACAUUUCCUACCAUGUCAGAUUUUGAUCAAUUUAGAUUUUAACAUAUGGGUGACCACCUCGGUCU